GAUGAACGCUAGCGGCAGGCUUAACGCAUGCAAGUCGAGGGGUAGAAGUUGCUUGCAACUUUGAGACCGGCGCACGGGUGCGUAACGCGUAUGCAACCUACCUUUUACAGAGGGAUAGCCCAGAGAAAUUUGGAUUAAUACCUCAUAGUAUAUAAUCUUCGCAUGUUGGUUAUAUUAAAGUUCCAACGGUAAAAGAUGGGCAUGCGUCCUAUUAGCUAGUUGGUGUGGUAACGGCACACCAAGGCGACGAUAGGUAGGGGUCCUGAGAGGGAGAUCCCCCACACUGGUACUGAGACACGGACCAGACUCCUACGGGAGGCAGCAGUGAGGAAUAUUGGACAAUGGGCGCAAGCCUGAUCCAGCCAUGCCGCGUGCAGGAAGAAGCAUCUAUGGUGUGUAAACUGCUUUUGUACAGGAAGAAACACCCCUUCGUGAAGGGACUUGACGGUACUGUAAGAAUAAGGAUCGGCUAACUCCGUGCCAGCCGCCGCCGUAAAAC
rnacentral:rRNA from 1 species